rnacentral:misc_RNA from 1 species
GGAAGUAAAAGUCGUAGCAAGGUUUCCGUAGGUGAACCUGCGGAAGGAUCAUUAUCGAAAUACUUAUUUAGCGUUCCGUGCUAUCCCAUUGUUUUAUUUACCCUGUUGCUUCCACUGGAUGAGUUUCCAUACCUUGUGUUUGAGAAACUUUGGCUUGUGUAAGAUUCAUUCACGGCCAGCCAGUGAGAAGACCAUUUACAAAACCCUGUUAAGAACCAAUUGUCUGAAUAUUUUACUCCAAUGAAAUAAAACUUUCAACAACGGAUCUCUAGGCUCUU